rnacentral:tRNA from 3 species
GCUGGGAUGGCGGAAUUGGUAUACGCGCUAGUCUUAGGAACUAGUGCCUAUUGGCUUGAGGGUUCGAGUCCCUCUCCCAGCACCA